GUCAGGAAUGUGUAGCAGACAGAUGGACAUCCCAUGUGCAUUCUUCACCUGCAUAACACAGCUGCUGCCAAUAACACUACAAGCUGGAGGCCAACUGCCCAGUGACUUGGUCGGCAAGGGCGAAAUGUUAUGUGAUACAGUUGCAUUUACAUUCAAUUUACAAGAGCCAUAUCAAGAUUACCAGAAUGAUGGACCUCCUGUAGCCAUCAUGUGGCUCUCAUUCCAACCUCAUGCAUGUAACCAGAAAUCCUUUGAUAACUUGAUAACUGGG